UACGAAGGGUGCAAGCGUUACUCGGAAUUACUGGGCGUAAAGCGUGCGUAGGUGGUCUGUUAAGUCUGAUGUGAAAGCCCUGGGCUCAACCUGGGAAUUGCAUUGGAUACUGGCAGGCUAGAGUGCGGUAGAGGGUAGUGGAAUUCCCGGUGUAGCAGUGAAAUGCGUAGAUAUCGGGAGGAACACCAGUGGCGAAGGCGGGUCUCUGGGCCGAUACUGACGCUGAGGAGCGAAAGCGUGGGGAGCGAACAGG
rnacentral:rRNA from 1 species